rnacentral:lncRNA from 1 species
UGGGAGGGGGCGGGGCGCGGAGGGGCCGGUCCCGGCUGAGGGGCCGUUGGUGCGGCAGAGUCGGAGCGGCGGCGGCCGGCGCGGCCCCGGGGAGAGGGCUCUGACGAGAGAGGGACCGACAGACCCACGGCGAGGGAGGAGCCAACCCCCGGCAAAGGAGCGGCCACGGCGAGAGAGGAACCGAGCCCUGGCAAGGGAUUGUCUGACCCCCUGCGAGGGAGUGAGCCCCGGUGUCAUAAAUAAAUAGGAAAUCAAUGGACUUCAGGCGUGGAUCAUUACCCAUGUACUUUGGUUUGCAAAUGCUUCUUCCACUUCUCACCUACCAUCAUUUUUGACAGCUGGAUUCAUCUCCUGUGGUGUGCCAAUAUCUUGGAAUAUGCAGUGGCCACGUUUGCAAUGAUUAGAGGCUACUUUUUCCCUGCCAGUACCAAAGACUGGAUAAAAAAAGUCUAAAUGUGUGAGUCAAACCAAAAGCUUGCUUUAUUUAUAGAUGACGGAUACACAUUUACUUUAUGGCUACUGGACAGGCACAAAGGCAGCAGCGUUUCCAUGGGCAGCUGAGUGUGUGGAGCAGGCAGUGCAGGAGCAGGAAGAGGAAGAAGGAGGAGACCCUUAAGAGACGACUGCCUGCACCCUCAGAUGCGUGGGCCUCUGUAAGUUUUGUGCAGAACCUCCUGAUGCCUGAGCAUGCAGAUUGGCCCAGAAAAUUGCGAUGGCAAAACUGGAGUCCAGAGCCGUUCCAGGGGGUGUUUCCUGCAGCCACAAAGGCAGGGGCAAUUUCCUGGAGCUGUCACGUGCCUGUCCACGGCUUUGAGGAUGCUGUGG